rnacentral:rRNA from 1 species
UUUCGCAAUGCCCGAAAGGGUGACGAAGCGACGCCGCGUGCGGGAAGAAGGCCUUCGGGUUGUAAACCGCUGUCGGGAGUUAAGAAAUGUAAGGAUGUUAAUAGCAUCUUUGCUUGACUAAGGCUCCGGAGGAAGCCACGGCUAACUCUGUGCCAGCAGCCGCGGUAAUACAGAGGCGGCAAGCGUUGUUCGGAAUUAUUGGGCGUAAAGAGCACGUAGGCGGCUAUGUAAGACGGUUGUGAAAGCCUUCCGCUCAACGGGAGAACAGCAUCCGAUACUGCAUGGCUUGAGUGCGGGAGGGGAGAGUGGAACUUCUGGUGGAGCGGUGAAAUGCGUAGAUAUCAGAAGGAACGCCGGCGGCGAAAGCGGCUCUCUGGCCCAUAACUGACGCUGAGUGUGCGAAAGCUAGGGGAGCAAACGGGAUUAGAUACCCCGGUAGUCCUAGCCGUAAACGAUGGGCACUAAGUAGAGGGGUUUUAAUCUC